UGAGGAAUAUUGGACAAUGGGCGAAAGCCUGAUCCAGCCAUGCCGCGUGUGUGAAGAAGGUCUUCGGAUUGUAAAGCACUUUAAGUUGGGAGGAAGGGUUGUAGAUUAAUACUCUGCAAUUUUGACGUUACCGACAGAAUAAGCACCGGCUAACUCUGUGCCAGCAGCCGCGGUAAUACAGAGGGUGCAAGCGUUAAUCGGAAUUACUGGGCGUAAAGCGCGCGUAGGUGGUUUGUUAAGUUGGAUGUGAAAUCCCCGGGCUCAACCUGGGAACUGCAUCCAAAACUGGCAAGCUAGAGUAUGGUAGAGGGUGGUGGAAUUUCCUGUGUAGCGGUGAAAUGCGUAGAUAUAGGAAGGAACACCAGUGGCGAAGGCGACCACCUGGACUGAUACUGACACUGAGGUGCGAAAGCGUGGGGAGCAAACAGGAUUAGAUACCCCAGUAGUCCCUGAGCGGGCUGGCAAGGCGCAU
rnacentral:rRNA from 1 species